rnacentral:tRNA from 1 species
GAGGGUAUAGCUCAAGUGGUAGAGCGCAUGCUGAGCAUGCACGAGGUCCUGGGUUCCAUCCCCAGUACCUCCA